GGCUCACAUUACAAGUCUGUGAAGUCACUGAUAGCAGGCAACGUGUGGCAGCAUCUGAUGCCCUGCAAUGGGAGGCUUGAGAGACCACUGCAUGAAGGUGAAUCUUGUGUUGUAGUAGAAACACUAGGGUGCUGGAGAUGUCAAGACCAAGCAAUGUGUAUUAAGGAUGGGAGAAAACAUACAGUGGAGCAAGUCUAAAAGAGAGGCUAUGCGUGCUUCAGACAGCAGAGCUGGGGUAGGGGUGGGGUUGUGCAAGGCUGUUGAGUCCAGGUCAUUUUUCCACAGACCUCAGAUCCCCAGCAAUGGGAGCUGUUGCUCAUGCGGUUGGACCCUUGCUUUGCCAUGGUCUUCCUUGCUGGAUUCCAUCCCUCCUUCCGGGAACUGGAAAGUUCACUCUGUGAUUUGUUCGUCGGAAGUAUGUGACUUGUGCUUGGGUGUUAUAGAGCCUGACAGUUCAGAGAUUGCCUGGGAGAAAAAAUAUCAAAAAGGUUAAAAUAUUAGGAACAUCUCAAGAGACAUUAGAUGUGUUUUGCACUGUGAGAUGAACACAAGACUUCGAGGACCAGAGGUGGGAUGGUUUGAUUUGCACAUGAUGCAUUUACAUGUCCAGAUGACAAGGAAUGACCUUGUGCUGCUUAAUCGUGGUUGUCAACUUGACACGGUUUACAUCACCUAGGAGAGAAAGCCUCUGGUUCUGCGUAUGAGGAGAUCUCCAAACAGCUUUAACUGAAGGAGGAAGACCUACGUGAGUGAAGUCCUUGAGUGGAGAGGGCUACCGCUCCAUGGCGUAGGAUCACGUGCCUCAUGAGAGACCAUGUGACCAGCUAACUGAUGAGUCUCUUUCCCUGGCAUCAUGGGUAGAUGGUCUCCCCUCAAAUGACACACCAAAAUAAACCCUCC
rnacentral:lncRNA from 1 species